rnacentral:rRNA from 1 species
UACGUAGGGGGCAAGCGUUGUCCGGAAUCAUUGGGCGUAAAGCGCGCGUAGGCGGCCCGGUAAGUCCGCUGUAAAAGUCCAGGGCUCAACCCUGGAAAGCCGGUGGAUACUGUCGGGCUAGAGUCCGGAAGAGGCGAGUGGAAUUCCGUGGUGUAGCGGUGGAAUGCGCAGAUAUCAGGAGGAACACCGAUGGCGAAGGCAGCUCGCUGGGACGGUACUGACGCUGAGGCGCGAAGCGUGGGGAGCGAACAGG